CUGGUGCUAAUACCGCAUGACAUCCCUGGUUCRCUCCGGGGAUCAAAGCCGGGGACCGCAAGGCCUGGCGCUUGAAGAUGAGCCCGCGUCCGAUUAGCUAGUUGGCGGGGUAACGGCCCACCAAGGCUUCGAUCGGUAGCCGGCCUGAGAGGGCGGACGGCCACACUGGGACUGAGACACGGCCCAGACUCCUACGGGAGGCAGCAGUGGGGAAUUUUUCGCAAUGGGGGAAACCCUGACGACGCAACGCCGCGUGGAGGAUGAAGGCCUUCGGGUCGUAAACUCCUGUCGACCGGGAAGAAUGCACCUGACCUAAUACGUCGGCGUGUUGACUGUACCGGUGGAGGAAGCCACGGCUAACUCUGUGCCAGCAGCCGCGGUAAUACAGAGGUGGCAAGCGUUGUUCGGAAUUACUGGGCGUAAAGGGCGCGUAGGCGGCCCGCCAAGUCCCGUGUGAAAGCCCCCGGCUCAACCGGGGAACGGCGCGGGAAACUAGCAGGCUUGAGUUCGGGAGAGGGAAGCGGAAUUUCGGGUGUAGCGGUGAAAUGCGUAGAUAUCCGGAGGAACACCGGUGGCGAAGGCGGCUUCCUGGACCGACACUGACGCUGAGGCGCGAAAGCUAGGGGAGCAAACGG
rnacentral:rRNA from 1 species